rnacentral:lncRNA from 1 species
GAUCAGCCAAGUUGACUCAACCCUGGCGAUCGUAGAGUGACAGAUGGUGCUGCUGGAUCACCACCAUGUCUUAUUUUAGAUCCUUGAGAGAAUGGAACUCCGGAAGAUUCAAGGACCCGAGGAGAAGAGAUCAGGUGCAAAGGAAGAGUCACUACAGAUGGGAGUAAAGGGUCGGUGUCAGAAAUGGAAACUCCUGAGCUGUGGGAGCCUGGUCUUGGCUAAAGGAGACUGUCAGCCAGUAGCUAGGGAAGGAAUAGAGCACUUGUGACUAGAAGAAAUUAUGGGCCAAUUUCCUGGCACCCAAGACAGAGCUUCCUCAGGAGAUAGCUAACAGAUGAAGUCCAGGCAUGCCAAUGUCGAAAGGAAAGGGCACCCAGCCCAGGAAGGCAGAAUAAUGAAUAUUCACCAACAAGUAUCUGAUCAACAAAUGUCUGUGCCAAGUUGCACCCCUCGUUGUAGUCUGAGGUACUCUAGGAAGGUACAAUACCUACGCUCGCUGGCGACCAUCCUUUGGAAGGCACCGAGGGGCCAACUGCACGGCCACGAGGUGUUUUCCUGUCUCCAUCUCCUGCAGCAGCAAAGGACCCCAGGGCAGAAGACAUGGGGAUGGUGACACUGGCACCUCUGGCUGACAUGUUGAAUACCCCACAGCUCAAUCCUGCAGCAGGCUCCCUUGUGAACCCCCUAGCUGCUCCUCUCAACCCACUGCUAUCUGGCCAA